ACCCGGGAGGCGGGGCGUAGCCGGAGAAGCAGCAGAAGCGGCGAAAGGGAGUCAGCGUAGGCGGGACGUCCCGUCGCCAUGGCUCCGAGUUCGGUCGUGCUAUUGGUCGCCGCCGUGGAACGGAAGCCGAAGACGGGCGUCGCCCUUUGGCCUCCGGAAGUGUUCGGGGGAAGGCUGUCUGAGAGUGCAAGGCGUGAGGGGGAAGGCCUGGGACGGUGCGCCGGCUUUGAAUGAAUCGGGCUGAUUCAUCGCGGCCCGGCUGAGCGGAAGGCGGCGGCGAGCGCGGCUGUCGGCGAGACGGAAGGGCUCGAGCGGCCAGGAUCUAAAACAACCAGAGGCGGCUGCAAAAGACGCAGUUCAGAAGCAAGGGGCGGCGUGCUUCUCUGACCCAUCGGGACUCGGGUUUCUAAUUUCGGUUGGAAUUAAGCUUUACCUACACUAGAAUUUGGACAGCCAACUGAGAUCAGGAAGAGAGUUUUUUAAAGGAACAGAAAACUGG